UGGCCCGUCGGCAAGCGGUAAGCCACCAGACUUUGACUCUGGCAUUCGUAGGUUCGAAUCCUGCCGGGCCAACCA
rnacentral:tRNA from 1 species